AGCCAUUAAAACAUUUUUGGAUAUGCAAGUUUUUUCAUAUCUGGGUUUGGAUAUGCACGUUUUUCAUAUCUGAUCUAACUCUGGAAGACUUCUGAAAAAUAUUUUCGGAAGUCUUCUAAAAUAUAAUGCACCAGAAGACGUCCUGGAAGUCUUAUGACUUCAUGGAAGUGUUCUGACGGAGUCUUCUCUCAUGUCUCCUCUAUAAUAAUAGAUUUGAGUGUUUUGGUAAAUCUUCAUAUUUGAUUUUUCUUCAUUAGGUAACCUCUUGCUACAUAAAGCUCUUUCCUUUUUACCAAACUAAAACUAUCUAACCUCUCUCUCUCUCUCUCUAAUCUCUUUGAACUUGGAAACACCAAACUGUAUAUUAUUUUUUUUUAUUUUUGUAUCUCAUGUCUUUCUCACUAAUUUAUCUUUUUUUUUUUUUGUAACUUACUAAUUUAUCUUGUUCUUGCAGGUUUUUUAUUACAUGGUUCUUAUAUUCCACUAAUUUAAAGGUAGAUCUAUAAAUGUUAGAUAUCUAUUUUGUGUGUUCUAUAAAGUUAGAUCUAUCUAAUUUUCCACUCAUUUUCUCUCUUUUUGAGGUGGUUUGAAUGUUUUUGGAUAUGCAUGUUUUUCAGAUCUGAGUCAGAUUUUGAAAGUAUUUUCGGAAGGCUUCUAAGGUAUAAUGCCCUAGAAGACUUUCUGGAAGUCUUCUGACGGAGUCUCCCAUGUCAAGUGGAAUCCAAACUUAUCUUUGUCGAGGAAUAAUCUCUAACUCCAUGUGUAAUAGUUUUAUUUAUGACAUUUUCGUGAUUUAUGUGUCUACUCUUUUAGUUGUGAUUUAUUUUUGUAAAUUUGAAGAGAUAUUAAUGAAAUUUUAAGUAAAUAUGUUCAUGUUUAUAAAAUUAUCUUGCCAAAAAAAUACUUGAAUUUAUUGAAGUUAAACUUCAAUAGCAUAAAAUAACGAAAAAAAUUAAUCAAAUUUACUAAAACUAAGGGUGAAU
rnacentral:lncRNA from 1 species